CGAGCGUCGGAACAAAAGAAUGUGAAAUAAAUUUUCAGACAUUGUUUUUUUAUUCUUUCCCGCUAAAACCGAAAAUAUUUGUGUGGAAAUGAAGCUUCGCGUCUUAUAUUUCUUGCGUCGCCUAGCAACACGAUAGCGGCUCGCCAGACGCGCCAGAUGCAUACGUCAUGCGCGGGACAGGCUACGGAAGCCAGCAAGGCCGGCUGCGCAUGUCAAGUUCGUCUGUUCAGCGACUGGACUCGCGUGGAUGUCGUCUGUCGGUUGGGCUCCCGGCGUAUUGCGUUCCUUCUGCACUUCGACAUGGCACCGCCUCUAUAUUGGGCUAUGGCAAGGACAUUCCGGUGACUCAUGCUCCGAACAAAACGAGGGACCUACAGGCCGGCGAAGUUGCGUUCCGCAGCAUACGAGGACUUCUUCGUGGCUCACGGUUCGAACAGCGGGAGUGCGAACAGCCGGGCCAAGCUCCGCUCCCCAUGAGACGGGAAGUCACAUACGCAAAAAUUAUGCUGAAUGGGGAGUCCUCACGGGUCUGACGCGGGAGCAGAUGUGUACAACGGCUACGGCCUCUGCUUGGGUCACUUCAGAGAAAGAGACUACGCCAACCCUGUCUGUUCUGGUCGGCUAUGCAGAUUGUUCGAGUGGCUGCGCGGCCCCUGAUGGAUGAAGGACCAGCGUGGGAAGCAGCACGAUGGCCGACUCUACCAGCCGCACCAGCAAGCGGCCUGGUGACCUGGUGGCCAGCAGUUAUUGAGCACAGAUAUCUCGAUGCCCAGCCUGUAGGCCAGCUGGUCAGCUCUUCAAUCGGCCUGGUGUCUUGGUGCCCGCACUGCAGACUUGGUGACCCUCUGUUCUGGAGGCCUGGUGACUGCCCAUGCUGUGGACCAGCUGCUCUAGCUACCUGCGGCCUGGUGUCUUAGUCCCUCGCCUGCGGGCCCGGUGGCCAGCAGUUCCAGUGCACUGUUAUCUUGCUGCCCGCCCUAUGGACCUGGUGGUCAGCUCGUCCAUCAGCCUGGUGUCUCGCUGCCCUUUUUGCGGAUCUGGUGACCUCCCGUUCCAGCGAAGUGGUAUCAUGCUGCCCACCUUGCAGAUCUGGCGGCCAGCUGUUCCGGUCGACCUGACUUCUUUAGCAGCGAGGUGAACAUCUCCUGCAGCAUGCUCGUGUCAAGCCACAUGUAGCAGCUGCGAGCAACGUACAUGACACAGUGUUCAUGCCACUGGCAAGGCUGCAGCACACUCUGUUGUCCUCGCGCAGCCGGAUGCUCCAUUUUGGAUGUCGGUUGGCCAGGAUGUCCAGCAAGGUUGAACCUUCUUGCUCAGCAUUUCUAAGUGCAAAAUUGCGGAGCAGCGUGCUCACUGGAAGUGGCGAUUAUGGCGAGCAUGUCUCCACCACGGACUUCGAACGACUGUCCCUCGACCAGGAACAAGUUGGUGUGUGGUCCGCUGCACAGCCGCUGACCCAGCCUCGAGUGGUCCUGCUCAAACGUCAGCUCUGGAGUCUGUGUAAAAGCGGCCACGUUUAUGUUCACGAUGAAGUGGCCAUUGGCACCAUUGCCCACAAAUAUGGACAACGCGUUGUUACGUGCGCGCACACACACGCGCACCCGCAUAUGCACGCACGCACACACACAGAGACAGCAAAGAGCGCUGGCCAUGAGGCCAGAAGACGACAAUGACGACGUGUAACGCCGGUGACAUGCACGAUGUCUGUCGUGUCAAGUGCCGUGAGCUGAACUAAUUUAGUGUUGGCAGAGGCAGGUCCUGGUUAGUCUAAGGAGAGCUGUAGGUAGGGCAGUGGGAGGAGAUCGAGAUCAUCGAAAUACAGCACCUAUAGGACCGGGGCUUACCUAGCUGUACAAUUGGUAAAGGCAUAGGAAAGACAAGCAGUAGAAUGUUCGUUGAACGCCGUAGUUGGGAUGGAUAGCUGGUGGAACUGAAAACUAGGCGAAGUUUCGGGAAAGUGUCUAAGCAUGACGCCACUGCCCCGCCUUCUUCCGCCUUGGAACGCACUUCUACCGUCCUUGUCGUUCGCUGUACGUCCGUUCUUCACCGAACGGGACGUAGCCUAACCUAAGGCUAACUUGCUCUAAUUACCCCCUGGCUAUUGUGUGUUCUGGCGCUGGUUGCACCGUGGAAAUUUAUUAAGUAUGAAGUAUUACCGCGUAAGGGCAGGCCGGGUUUAAAUGGGCACGUUUAAGUGUUCCAAGUUGCCCGCUGCGCGUAGUAGCAUCAGCUGCGCAUCGCCGUUACGAAGGCCUGGAGCGGAAAAAGGAAGGGAGCAAUGUAUAGCAAGUUUCCACGCUGCCGCCGCCGAAGCACCAAUCGGCAUCGUUUGCAUGUUACUGACGGCGCAAACUAAUAAACGUGCGGCAUUCUUCGCAACUCUUACUACCAACUGCGUUCGUAGACGAAAGAUGGCGGGGCAGUAUUGAUCUGUUGUAAAACGCGCAAUGUGAGUGUGGUUACUAUCGGCUGGUCAAGCGUGUAGCGAAGUCUGCCGAGGCAACCAGCCUGGAGCGGACUGUCCGAGUUUCGCUUGGUUGAAAGCUGGUUGAGUGUCCAUACCCAUAGAAAUUGAGACCCGAGGGCUACAACACUGGUAAUCGGUGUGCCCAGUGUUGCAUUCCUGCACGAGCGUUUGCCGGAAGUACGUAAUUUCUCUGAAGUUUAAAAUGAACUGUUUCGCUUACUUCAGCCUCUUUAUUAAAUUGCUUCGAUAAAUAUAGACAGUAGCAGGAGGAACAACCGCGCUCAUUCAAGCACCCUUGUCGAUGUUCCGCUACUGACCGCGUAUGGGUAUCUUUUAUUUGACCAAAUAAGUCAGCCCGAAAACAUUGAAAAUAAUGUUUCUAUUGAAAAUCACGUUUGAGAAAAAGGUGAUAUCGCACUACGUUUGCGAGUUCCACCCGCCGCACAGCAGUGGAAAAUUUGAGAUAUUCGCAAGAGUGUUUGUUAACCGCAUAGUGUUUUCACCAAGUCACCAAGGUGGUUAAGGAGCUUUUUAACCCUGUAAUCCCUAACGCACUUUCUUUAUACAGCGCUGUUUGAGGCGGCAAAGUUCGAAUUAUCGCGAGGGAACAACAAGUAGCGACAGUAUUAGGCUGGAGCCCAUUGUAGUUAUUGAAUAGCUUAAGAUUUCAAUUCUUAUGUUGAUUGUUAAUUACCUUCGCUCAUACACAGUGUGUUUAGUACAAAUGUACCCUCCACGGCGAGAAAUAAAGGUGGAAAAAUUCUGUGAA